rnacentral:rRNA from 1 species
AUGGUUAAGUUAGAAAGGGCGCACGGUGGAUGCCUUGGCACUAGGAGCCGAUGAAGGACGGGACGAACACCGAUAUGCUUCGGGGAGCUGUAAGCAAGCUUUGAUCCGGAGAUUUCCGAAUGGGGAAACCCACUGCUCGUAAUGGAGUAGUAUCCAUACUUGAAUACAUAGAGUAUGAGAAGGCAUACCCGGGGAACUGAAACAUCUAAGUACCCGGAGGAAGAGAAAGCAAAUGCGAUUCCCUGAGUAGCGGCGAGCGAAACGGGAACAGCCCAAACCAAGAGGCUUGCCUCUUGGGGUUGUAGGACACUCUAUACGGAGUUACAAAGGAACGAUAUAAGCGAAGAGGUCUGGAAAGGCCCGCCAAAGAAGGUAACAGCCCUGUAACUGAAAUGUUGUUCUCUCCAGAGUGGAUCCUGAGUACGGCGGAACACGUGAAAUUCCGUCGGAAUCCGGGAGGACCAUCUCCCAAGGCUAAAUACUCCCUAGUGACCGAUAGUGAACCAGUACCGUGAGGGAAAGGUGAAAAGCACCCCGGAAGGGGAGUGAAAUAGAUCCUGAAACCGUGUGCCUACAAGUAGUCAGAGCCCGUUAAAGGGUGAUGGCGUGCCUUUUGUAGAAUGAACCGGCGAGUUACGAUCCCGUGCAAGGUUAAGCAGAAGAUGCGGAGCCGCAGCGAAAGCGAGUCUGAAUAGGGCGCAUGAGUACGUGGUCGUAGACCCGAAACCAGGUGAUCUACCCAUGUCCAGGGUGAAGUUCAGGUAACACUGAAUGGAGGCCCGAACCCACGCACGUUGAAAAGUGCGGGGAUGAGGUGUGGGUAGGGGUGAAAUGCCAAUCGAACCUGGAGAUAGCUGGUUCUCUCCGAAAUAGCUUUAGGGCUAGCCUCAAGGUAAGAGUCUCGGAGGUAGAGCACUGAUUGGACUAGGGGCCCCUACCGGGUUACCGAAUUCAGUCAAACUCCGAAUGCCGAUGACUUAUCCUUGGGAGUCAGACUGCGAGUGAUAAGAUCCGUAGUCGAAAGGGAAACAGCCCAGACCGCCAGCUAAGGUCCCAAAGUAUACGUUAAGUGGAAAAGGAUGUGGAGUUGCUUAGACAACCAGGAUGUUGGCUUAGAAGCAGCCACCAUUUAAAGAGUGCGUAAUAGCUCACUGGUCGAGUGACUCUGCGCCGAAAAUGUACCGGGGCUAAACGUAUCACCGAAGCUGCGGACUGUUCUAACGAACAGUGGUAGGAGAGCGUUCUAAGUGCUGUGAAGUCAGACCGGAAGGACUGGUGGAGCGCUUAGAAGUGAGAAUGCCGGUAUGAGUAGCGAAAGACGGGUGAGAAUCCCGUCCACCGAAUGCCUAAGGUUUCCUGAGGAAGGCUCGUCCGCUCAGGGUUAGUCGGGACCUAAGCCGAGGCCGAAAGGCGUAGGCGAUGGACAACAGGUUGAUAUUCCUGUACCACCUCCUCACCAUUUGAGCAAUGGGGGGACGCAGGAGGAUAGGGUAAGCGCGGUAUUGGAUAUCCGCGUCCAAGCAGUUAGGCUGGGAAAUAGGCAAAUCCGUUUCCCGUGAAGGCUGAGCUGUGAUGGCGAGCGAAAUUUAGUAGCGAAGUUCCUGAUUCCACACUGCCAAGAAAAGCCUCUAGCGAGGUGAGAGGUGCCCGUACCGCAAACCGACACAGGUAGGCGAGGAGAGAAUCCUAAGGUGAUCGAGAGAACUCUCGUUAAGGAACUCGGCAAAAUGACCCCGUAACUUCGGGAGAAGGGGUGCUUCUUAGGGUGUUAAAGCCCCGAGAAGCCGCAGUGAAUAGGCCC